rnacentral:misc_RNA from 1 species
GAUGAAGAACGCAGCGAAAUGCGAUACUUGGUGUGAAUUGCAGAAUCCCGUGAACCAUCGAGUCUUUGAACGCAAGUUGCGCCCGAAGCCAUUAGGCCGAGGCACGCCUGCCUGGGCGUCACACGUCGUUGCCCCCCCAUCUACUCCUUCGGGAUUGCGGGGGGCGGAUGAUGGCCUCCCGUGCGCCUCGUCGCGCGGUUGGCAUAAAUACCAAGUCCUCGGCGACGCACGCCACGACAAUCGGUGGUUGCGAAACCUCGGUUGCCCGUCGUGUGCGGUCGUCGCGCAUCGAGGGCUCGAAAAAAUUGCCGGGCUCCGGCUCGGCUUUCAACGCGACCCCAGGUCAGGCGGGGUUACCCGCUGAAUUUAAGCAUAUCAAUAAGCGGAGGA